GACGAACGCUGGCGGCGUGCUUAACACAUGCAAGUCGAACGGAAAGGCCCUGCUUUUGUGGGGUGCUCGAGUGGCGAACGGGUGAGUAACACGUGAGUAACCUGCCCUUGACUUUGGGAUAACUUCAGGAAACUGGGGCUAAUACCGGAUACGAGCUCCUGCUGCAUGGUGGGGGUUGGAAAGUUUCGGCGGUUGGGGAUGGACUCGCGGCUUAUCAGCUUGUUGGUGGGGUAGUGGCUUACCAAGGCUUUGACGGGUAGCCGGCCUGAGGGGGUGACCGGCCACACUGGGACUGAGAUACGGCCCAGACUCCUACGGGAGGCAGCAGUGGGGAAUAUUGCACAAUGGGCGGAAGCCUGAUGCAGCAACGCCGCGUGCGGGAUGACGGCCUUCGGGUUGUAAACCGCUUUCGCCUGUGACGAAGCGUGAGUGACGGUAAUGGGUAAAGAAGCACCGGCUAACUACGUG
rnacentral:rRNA from 1 species